CUCAAACACCUGAGGUCUGAGUGCUGAUGUCCCAACAAGAGGGUAAAAUGAGGACUGGGCAGUGCCAUUUCUUCAUCCGCUCAUGUUGGACUACCGGGACUCAUUAUCACUACUAUUGAGAUGCAAAUUGGAGUUACAAGACAGCAUGGGACAGGGCUAGCUGGAUGAUGAUGAAAAGAUGCUGAGACCUUCCAUGUCGUCCUGGAAAUGCUGUAUUAGGUUUUUGCUGAUUAAUUCCCCACCAG